CUGAGUGAGGGCCCCUCGGGGUCCAACCUCCCACCCGUGUUUAACGAACCUUGUUGCUUCGGCGGGCCCGCCUCACGGCCGCCGGGGGGCAUCUGCCCCCGGGCCCGCGCCCGCCGAAGCCACCUGUGAACGCUGUCUGAAGUUUGCAGUCUGAGAAACUAGCUAAAUUAGUUA
rnacentral:misc_RNA from 1 species